AAACAUUUCCAAAACCAAGAUCCAUAUCAAACUUACUUUCCAACCCUGAUUGUCAUACCAGCUUCACCAAAUUGUACCAUUUUAGAAGUUUUAGAACUUUUCUAGCUCCGUUUCCGUUUGUCCAAUAUCCAUUUUCCAUUUUUUGUAUUCUUUAAGUAUGAAUUCCAAACACCCAGCCUUAUCAUCUUCCUCCACCUUGAAAAGGAAGGUAUAUUCUAUUUAUGAUGAGCAUAAAAUUCGAUUCGAUUUUAAGUCGAUUUAAAGAUGGCCAUCUGUCUGUCGUCUGUCUGCCUGUUGAGAGCUUCAAACUUAGCAGAACAAUUUGUAUUGUCUCUGUGAUGAUUGAUAUUGAAAAUGAGAUAUAUCGGUCCACGUUUUGGUAUAGCCGCCAUAUAACGGUAUCUCCUGAUAUUCGGUCUAGCUCCGGUGGCGAAACAUUGUAUGUAUAGGUUCUCGUUUUUGUAUAUGUGAAUACCUACCGGUCUCCGCUCUCCACUCGUUCACACAGGAUCUCCGGAUACCAAUCCGUUGGACUACUAUGUCUGGAGUAUUUUGGAAAGCAAUGUUGGUAGUAAAAAAUACCAAAGUGUCGAUCACCUCAAGCAUGCGCUUCGCCGGGAAUGGGCCAAAAUACCGCAGAGCAACAUUCGGGCAGCGUGUGACGAUUUCAUUGGCCGUUUGAAGGCCAUAAUUCGUCCCAAAAGAGACCAAUUCGAACAAAUCUAAUCUUACUUAAAAAUUUGAUGCUAUUUCCGACCUUUUUUGUUUUCAUUCAAUAAAUUUUAUAAAAAAAAAAUAUAUAUUAUGACGUUUGA